ACACGGGGUAACUCGGCAUACCUAUAGUGUGUGGCCAAAGGAGAUUGCAGAUACGCAUCGAGUAGUGUUGCGAGUUCUAAAUUGAUUUCUUCGCCCGGUAACACAACUCGUAUGCUAAAAGGGUUGCGCAGAAUGACUCACUGGAAUGUAGAUCAGCAAGACCUCCGUAUUAGGCAACAUCCCUGGAGCGCGAUUUGCAAGCGACUUCAAACACGUCUCGGAACUAUUAAAAGGAUGAGUUACUCUAAUGCCCUGGGUAGGAUAAAUUUGCAGGUAU